rnacentral:rRNA from 1 species
CGCACGGGUGCGUAACGCGUAUGCAAUCUGCCUUUCACAGAGGGAUAGCCCAGAGAAAUUUGGAUUAAUACCUCAUAGUAUUAUGGAAGGGCAUCCUUUUAUAAUUAAAGUCACAACGGUGAAAGAUGAGCAUGCGUCCCAUUAGUUAGUUGGUAAGGUAACGGCUUACCAAGACUUCGAUGGGUAGGGGUCCUGAGAGGGAGAUCCCCCACACUGGUACUGAGACACGGACCAGACUCCUACGGGAGGCAGCAGUGAGGAAUAUUGGUCAAUGGGCGCAAGCCUGAACCAGCCAUGCCGCGUGCAGGAUGACGGUCCUAUGGAUUGUAAACUGCUUUUGUACGAGAAGAAACACCCCUACGAGUAGGGACUUGACGGUAUCGUAAGAAUAAGGAUCGGCUAACUCCGUGCCAGCAGCCGCGGUAAUACGGAGGAUCCAAGCGUUAUCCGGAAUCAUUGGGUUUAAAGGGUCCGUAGGCGGUCUUGUAAGUCAGUGGUGAAAGCCCAUCGCUCAACGAUGGAACGGCCAUUGAUACUGCAGGACUUGAAUUACUGGGAAGUAACUAGAAUAUGUAGUGUAGCGGUGAAAUGCUUAGAGAUUACAUGGAAUACCAAUUGCGAAGGCAGGUUACUACCAGUGGAUUGACGCUGAUGGACGAAAGCGUGGGUAGCGAACAGGAUUAGAUACCCUGGUAGUCCACGCCGUAAACGAUGGAUACUAGCUGUUGGGCGCAAGUUCAGUGGCUAAGCCAACCUGAUAAGUAUCCC